rnacentral:rRNA from 1 species
GAUGAACGCUGGCGGCGUGCCUAAUACAUGCAAGUCGAGCGAACGGACGAGAAGCUUGCUUUUCUGAUGUUAGCGGCGGACGGGUGAGUAACACGUGGAUAACCUACCUAUAAGACUGGGAUAACUUCGGGAAACCGGAGCUAAUACCGGAUAAUAUUUUGAACCGCAUGGUUCAAAAGUGAAAGACGGUCUUGCUGUCACUUAUAGAUGGAUCCGCGCUGCAUUAGCUAGUUGGUAAGGUAACGGCUUACCAAGGCAACGAUGCAUAGCCGACCUGAGAGGGUGAGCUGCCACACUGGGAGUGAGAUCCGCUCCAGCCUCCUACGGGAGGCAGGAUUUGGGAAUCUGCCGCAAUGGGCGAAAGCCUGAAGGCGCAACGCAGCGUAAGUGAUGAAGGUCUUCGGGUCGUAAAACACUGUUAUUAGGGAAGAACAGAUGUGUAAGUAACAGUGCACAUAUUGACUGCACCGAAUCAGAACGCCACGGCUAACUUCGU